rnacentral:lncRNA from 1 species
CUGUAUGUAUUGAGGGUGUGCUCGAGUUCUAGAACUUGAAUGUGUAAAGGAAUUCAAGGGGAGCAUGAGAAAAUUAGGGUGUGAACAAAGAAAUUCUAUUAAAAAAAGUUGGGCUUUUUAAGUUGGGCCACAAGUUUUUGUUUUUGCACCCCCUACUCGACUUGUAACAAAGGAAAAGAAAAUGUGGGAAAUAUCUCUUGGCAGCAUAAGAAAAC